GUCCAUUCAACUACAUUCAGUCCGACUGUUCACCUGUUACUGAAACCAUGCUCCACUUCAGACUCAGCAGCACACUGUUAUUGGCAGUGACCUGUUCGCUCGUGACAGCAGACGUGUCCACAGAAACAGUUAUCACCUGUGACAAUGGCAACGACGUCCAACGGUGGUAUGACUGAACUCUAAAGGUGGUGAAUGCUACAUUUAAGCUGGAAGAUGUAAACAAACUGACCAAAUCAAUGUUGUGGGUUGAACAACCAUGUAGGUCGUUUUCUUUUUUUUUUAAAUAACCCACAGGGGCGUGUCCUGAAAUAGCGCCGCUACGGUGCCCGGCGUAUCGAACCUCAGUUGUCAGGGUUACAAAAAUAAACAGGCGGAACGAGAGCGGUGUACGUAUCUUCGUUACCAUGGUUACUAUAAAACGGCCAUGGCUUGGUUAGGUUUAGGAAAAGAUCGUGAUUUGGGUUCACACAAGUACUUCCUCAAUAUUAGACCAUCUUUGUUGUCAUGGUUACAAUAAUAACAACGCGGUUAACUUUGUCGAACGGUCAUGAAUAAAAGAAACGACAUAAACUGCUACUUUCACAUGGGGAUAGAAAUCACCUCUUCCUGAUAUGGACUCGUCAUCGCACUUUCCUCUUUGUUCCUGCUGUAAUUCCUACGACCACUAGAUGUCGCCUAAUAACAAGACAUAACUACCACUGAGCAAGCAACGUCUGUGGACGUCCAAUUCUAGUUGAUAUCACGUCCGUCCGUCCAGGCCACAAUCUGGACGUCUAUAUGUGAGCCAGAACUAGUCGAUAACUGACAUUGAGUGAAGUAGUGCAGCCUGACCCAAUUUUGGACGUCUACUUACAGACAGAACUAGUUGAAAAUAGACGUUCUGACAGGCCACAAUCUGAACGUAUAUAUGACAGCCAGAACUAGUCGAUAAACGACCUGAGUGAAGUAGUCUAGCCUGGCCCAAUUUUGAACGUCUACUUACAGACAGAACUAGUUGAAAAUAGACGUUUAGAAAGGCCACAAUCUGGACGUCUAUAUGACAGCCAGAACUAGUCGAUAAACGACCUGAGUGAAGUAGUCCAGCCUGGCCCAAUUUUGGACGUCUAUAUUCAACCAGAACUAGUUGUAAUGAGACGUUCUGACCGACCACAAUCUGGACGUCUGUUUGACAGCCUGAAUUAGUUAAUAAAUGACACUGAGUGAAGUAGUCCAGCCUGGCCCAAUUAUGGACGUAUACCAAAAUUAGUUGAAAGCAGACGUUCCGACAGGCUGCAAUCUAAAGUCCAGUGAUGAACUGAGUUGGUAUAGAAUUCUGAGAGGCUAUCAUUUGGACAUAUUGAUAACCAUAAUCAGUUGGCACUAAUGCUGAGACUUUAAGGUUGACCAUAUCAGCAUGCCACAUACUGACAAGUUGAGAAAGAGGACAUCCAUUUUGACCAAAAAGAUCAAAGAAUAUGCCAGAUGGACAGGGAAAGGCUGGCUGGCUGGCUAGUGAAAUUGUCCUGACAGCUAUUUGUACCUUUGUUUCCUGGAUCACAGAUUACCUGACACAAUUCAGCCACAAUUUGUCAGGUUGGGGAACUGUGCUUCUCGGAGUCACAAAAACUGCCUUCUACUGAACACCUCAAAGACAAAGGAAAUGAUUGUGGAUUUCCGCAGGUCUAAGCCCCUUCUUCAGCCAGUGAACAUCUGUGGGGUGGACAUUGAGGUGGUGCACACCUACAAAUAUCUAGGGGUCAUCAUGGAUGAAGAUGGACUGGUCCCCUAAGACCGAUGCCCUCUACAGGAAGGGGCAGAUCCACCUGUUCUUCCUGCGGACACUGAGGUCCUUUGAUGUGUGUGUGGAGAUGAUGACCAUGUUCUACCACACGGUGGAGGCCAGUGCACUCUUCUUUGCUGCAGUGUGUUGGGGAGGCAGCCUUACAGACAAAAACACCAAGGGCUGGACAAGCUGGUCAAAAAAGCGGGCUCAGUGUUGGGCAGGAGUCUGGACCCACUAAGAUCUAUGGUGGAGAGGGGCACACUGAACAAACUGAAAGCUAUAAUGGACAAUAGCAGACACCCAGCCUCCUGGAGCAACAGAGGAGCAGAUGCAGCAGUCGUCUCCUCUCACUGCGCUGCAGAACGGAGCAAUUCAGGAGAUCCUUUGUCCCCACAGCAAUAAGACUCCUCCUGAAUUUUUGGAUUUUUAAUAUUAACGUGCUAAUUUCUUUGUUCUAUGUCUUGAUGAGCUUCUGGAUUUCUGAAUUUGCCUUCGGGGAUGAAUAAAGUAUUUCUAUCUUUCUAUUUCUAUCAAUCUAUCACCAUGUGAUAUAGGCCUACAGGCCUACCUUUUAUCCAUGUGUGGGUUUAUGUUACUUGCAACUUGUUGCCAUGCAAAUAUAAUAGUAUUUUGAAUUCAAAAUCACAGUAAAGGCUAAUAUAAACAAGCCAAGACCUGAGUACCUGGAGAAAUAUAUAUAUUUUCAUCAUAAAUGUUGCAUUUUGGUGUAUUUCCAUCAGGUUUACUGUUACAAUUGUUGUAUAGGAGUUGGGAAACAAAUUCAGCAGAAAAAUUGGCUAGCUGGAACUUAAGUUAAUGAGUGCUUUAUUGUUAUAGUGCAUUUUUACAAGGCAAGGAUAAAAAGUUCCUUCGUUGCAUCUUAGAAAUGGUUUAAAUAUGGAUUCAUGUUAGCUUCUUUCAAAAGUGACCAGAAUAAUGAAUAUAGGCCAUAUGGUUGAUGAGUUAUUCCUGAUUUUUGCAGGUUUUGCCUCCGGAUUCAGAGAUUAAAAAAAACUUUUUCCCAUAAUUCUAUGCAGUAGAUUAAUCUAUCUAUACACAUAUUCCCCGUUUGUUAAUAAUAAUUUGUCAUUUUUUAUAGAAUAUCGAAUAUUUUUUAUUUAACAACUGUCUCUGUGGUUUGGUAUUUAAAACAUUUUUGGCUGUAAGGUCGUACAGUAUUAAUAAAGUUCGGUUGAAUUAACCAAUCACGUUCUUGUUACCAGACUGAUAUCCUUCCGCUGUGAAAGUAGUUCUACUUUAUAGUGGUGAUUAAUAAUUUAAUUGGGACUCGCAGUGGUUAACAUUGCCAUUAACGACAUAGUUCAACCUUUUAUGAAAUGACAUUGCUUUUUUAAUCGAGCCAACUUGCCAGGAAAUUUUUCUAUCUGUCGCACGGAUGGAUAUGAAGUCUGCAAGGAAUUGUACAAUCACGCAGUGGACUUGGCAGUUACUCGGCUCGGCAGUUAGCUCGGCAGUUACUCGGCUCGUGCAGAUCUUAAGGUCCACCUACUUCUCAGAAGCCCACGGAGAGCAGGUCCGGUGGUGAUGAAAGGUCUCUUUCCAUUCCUCUUGCGAAAUCCAGCACUUCCACCAGAUUCCCUAUCUCUCAAGCAAAGUUCCAGAAAAUUGUUAUAUCAAAACUUGUGACACUGCACGAUGAAAUAAAGAAGCUGCAGAGGAGUGAAGCAAAUUCUGCAACACACAUCGAGAAGAUGCAGUCUUUAGAAGACUUUAACCAGAUGGAGGAAUCAUUGUCUGGCUCUGACAAUUUCAAUAAUUUGGUUCAUCGGCUGGCAAGAGUGGGUGGUAAAGAUGUAAAAGACUGCACACACAAAGUGCUUGACAGGCUCUUCACCAACCAACUCAUGUCCCUUUUCAACUUGAAGGGAAAAAAGAAAAGAUGGGCCUGGAAAACACAAAGGUGUUUACUGUCAUAAAAGCUGCUGUUAUGCAAUGGGAUUCUGCUGCGACGGAGGCGCAAAUCAGAUCUGCAGCCGCAGAUCACCUGAAGCAUGCCCCGGGACGAGUUGGAGGAGGAGGUUACAAUUAGGUUUUUUUAGCAAGGGAAUUUUUACUCAUUUCUAAUUUUAAAUACUUUUAUAUAUUUAUAGUUUUGUUAGUUUCGUUUUGUUCAUUGUUCACUGUUGUAAAAAGUUUUUUAAAUGUGUUCGUGGCUUUUCAUCAAAGUCCUUGAAUAAAAUUCGAUAGUGUGAAUCUUAAAUCAGCAAAUUACCUGUCAUCAUUACAUCUAUCCCCAGCAGUGUUACAGCUCACCCCAGUGGGGAGGUUGUAACUAUGGAAUUCCUUGUAUUAGACGUUCACUUCGAUAAUUAAUGAAGUCCAAUAGUUUUAUGUGUUGUAGACAAAUAUGGAUACUGUGUGUCAACAACUGUUUAGUCAUUGAUGAUCAAACAGAAAGUGAUACUAUAUCAUAUCAUAUAAGAAUGAAUGCUCACUCACUCACUGUCACACACAGAUCCAAGUUGUCUAUUUCUGCUCAAACAUGCAUUCUUCACUUUUUAUGUUUGUGUCAAUUUGAGGACAGUGGAACUUUAUACUAAUUAUCUUUAACGUUUAUCCAUUUUUUAAUAUCUGAUUAGCAACUCUGGUCAUCACUCAUCUAAUCAGUACAGGACAUUAGUGGUUAAUUGUAGUGUGUGCAUUUCAUUCAUGUCAGUGAAGGGUACUACUUUUAUAAGCUGUUCUCAUUAGUAACCAAGUUUGAAUUUUUAACGUUUAAUGUCCUGAAAAGAUGUGGCCUAUAUUGACCUCAUGGAUAUCGUCUUCUGGAUGUCCAAUAAUUGUGUCCUUAACACGUACUUUUAUGACAUCUAUAAAACGUCCAGAAGAGACAUCUUUAAAACGUCCGGGAAAGACGUAUUAAAAACUUUCAUUCUGGCUCCUCUGAGAACGUCUUGUGGAUGUUCGGAUAUCACGUCUUUUUGACGUGUUUUGGACCACUUUUUGCUCAGUGGACCAGACAUCUUGUACUUGGCCAGUGGGAGCUGCAGAUGUCUGAGGGUAAAAUUACUUAUCCAACAGAUUAUCUUUACACUAUUAAAAAGAUGGUAAUUUUGAUUAAUCUCCAACAUCUCAGGACCAAUGUCCUCACAGCCUGCCACAAUCUUGUAUGUACAGUAUAAGGCUGAAUCUGACUCGUAUUGAGCUUCCCUCUCUAGUUUUUCAGACUGCUUACCUGGACUUUUUCUUAUCAUGUGUCACAUCUAUAAUCAAUCUGAUCUGACUUUUGGUUGUGUGGCUCUAUAUACAUCCACCCAAGACAAAAAAAUUCAAAUUCAUUGUGAAUGAUCCAGAUCUACCACAAAAUCUAAUGGGUUCUUCCGUGGCCCUUCCCUCAUCCCUCAACCAAGUUUGGUGCAAAUCAGUUCAACUUUUUGAGUUGUCCUGCUGUCCUCAAACCCAUUUAGCAUUUUUUCCAUCAGUCUGUCCGAAACACAGAUGAGCUUGUCCCUCGGGUUCACUGUCCUUUUUCUAAGCUAAAAAGCGAUUUGAAAUAUUUGUGAUUCAACAGUAAUUACACAGAAAAACUACAGCUCCCAUAAACAUUUACCAGUGUGGCAGUGCAGGAUCUUGCAUCAUACCCUGGUUUCAUCUAUAUCCAUAAAAUCCAUAAAAUCUGUGUU